rnacentral:rRNA from 1 species
CCUGAUUGUUAAACUGCCCAUAGUGAUCUUGUCUGUCCUCAGAAACUCAGCUGGGUAGGACCUGGUUUGUAUUUGGAUAGGAGAAUGUUUGGGAAUACUUGGUGCUACAAGAU